rnacentral:misc_RNA from 1 species
UUGCUAAUUGAUUACUUUAUUCAGUUAAAAUGCUCAGUUCGGCCUUGCUCUAAAAGUUCGUCCAUAUUACUUCUAUAUAAACACUGAUAAUUAGCUGAUAAGCCGGGAUUCUGCUCUAUUAUUUUACACAGGAAAUUAAAAACGAAGGAUAGAGAAAAGAGGGAAGACUAAGAAAAGAGCGUAUUGAAUGAACAAAUUCUAGAAAUACUCUUGGUUAUAAAUAGUUGGAAUAAAGAAAACCGGAAAUAUUCUUAUAGGAGAAUGAGGAGGCCCACGCGAGCUCAAAUGGAAGAUAGGCGAAGAAAGUCUAAGCCAUCUCAGCAGACUGUUUCAUCUAAUAACAACGGUGAUUUUAAAAGAUUUUCCGAAAAGAAGGUUCAAACUAUUAUCGAAGAUGUUAUGACUGAUCUCAUAUCGAAUAACGAUUAUCAAGCCGAUAAAGCCGCUAGUCUAGCAACUGAAAUUAGCUUAAGUAUCAAAUCUAAGGUCAAGGAUAUAGUUUCUGAGAGAUACAAGUUAAUUGUCCAUACAACAAUCGGUGAAAAGAGAAAUCAAGGACAAAUGGCUUCCAGAUGUUUAUGGGGACCGUCAAACGAUUCGUACGUAAGCCACAAAUACGAAAAUAAAACAAUUGUUGCUGUAUCAAUCGUUUUUGCUUGUUAUUACGAUUGAAAUAGCUGUAAAAAACAAACCAACAAACAAACAAACAAAAAUUUCUAUCUUUAAUACAAGAGAGUGAUGUCUUUUUUUUUUUAAAUAAAAGGAAAAUAAAUAGAUGAAAA